GUGGGGAAUCUUGCGCAAUGGGCGAAAGCCUGAUGCAGCCAUGCCGCGUGGAUGAUGAAGGUCUUAGGAUUGUAAAAUCCUUUCACCGGUGAAGAUAAUGACUGUAGCCGGAGAAGAAGCCCCGGCUAACUUCGUGCCAGCAGCCGCGGUAAUACGAAGGGGGCUAGCGUUGCUCGGAAUUACUGGGCGUAAAGGGAGCGUAGGCGGACAUUUAAGUCAGGGGUGAAAUCCCGAGGCUCAACCUCGGAACUGCAUUUGAUACUGGGUGUCUUGAGUGUGAGAGAGGUGAGUGGAACUCCGAGUGUAGAGGUGAAAUUCGUAGAUAUUCGGAAGAACACCAGUGGCGAAGGCGACUCACUGGCUCAUUACUGACGCUGAGGCUCGAAAGCGUGGGGAGCAAACAGGAUUAGAUACCCGAGUAGUCC
rnacentral:rRNA from 1 species